UACGGAGGGUGCGAGCGUUGUCCGGAAUCACUGGGCGUAAAGGGCGCGUAGGCGGCCUGGUAAGUAGGGGGUGAAAUCCUGCGGCUUAACCGCAGGGCUGCCUUCUAAACUGUCAGGCUCGAGCACGGUAGAGGCAGAUGGAAUUCCCGGUGUAGCGGUGGAAUGCGUAGAGAUCGGGAAGAACAUCAGUGGCGAAGGCGGUCUGCUGGGCCGCUGCUGACGCUGAGGCGCGACAGCGUGGGGAGCAAACAGG
rnacentral:rRNA from 1 species